rnacentral:sRNA from 1 species
GAAAAAUAAAUGUGCUUAUUGGAAUGUUCAUGUUAGUGAAGUACCAAUUAUGUGAGUAUGUAUGUAGCCUCCCAUCAGACAGAUUAAUUUAUGUCAAGCAAAUUUGUUGUUUCACCAGCAUGUCUAAAAGAAUUACCUAGUUUGCCUAGAAAGGAAAUCAAAACUUCUGAUUUGACAGAAAAUAAAAGAGCACAUUGGGUGCA